rnacentral:rRNA from 1 species
AGCUCCAAUAGCGUAUAUUAAAGUUGUUGCGGUUAAAAGCUCGUAGUUGGAUUUCUGUUGAGGGUGGCCAGUCCGCACUUUGUGCGAGUAUUUGGUUCAGCCUCGGCAUCCUCCUGGGGAGCGUGAUUGUACUUAGUUGUAUGACGCGUAAUUCAGGACUUUUACUUUGAGGAAAUUAGAGUGUUCACGGCAGGCAAUAGCCUUGAAUAUGUUAGCAUGGAAUAAUAAUAUAAGACCUCGGUUUUAUUUUGUUGGUUUCUAGAAGCGGGGUAAUGAUUAAUAGGGAUAAUUGGGGGUAUUCGAAUUAAUGCGUCAGAGGUGGAAUUCUUGGAUUGCAUUACGACGAACUACUGCGAAAGCAUUUACCAAGGAUGUUUUCA